GAUAAACGCUGGCGGCGCACAUAAGACAUGCAAGUCGAACGGAAGUCGUUAUAAAACGGAGAGAAGAUUUAUCGGAUCGAAGAUUUGUAACAAUGGCUUUAGUGGCGGACUGGUGAGUAACACGUAAGCAACCUGGCUAUUAGAGGGGGAUAACAGUGAGAAAUCACUGCUAAUACCGCAUAAGCUUGUAAUAUCGCAUGAUAUAGCAAGAAAAGGAGCAAUCCGCUAAUAGAUGGGCUUGCGGCUGAUUAGCUAGUUGGUUAGGUAAUGGCUGACCAAGGCAACGAUCAGUAGCCGGGCUGAGAGGCUCUGCGGCCACAUUGGGACUGAGAUACGGCCCAG
rnacentral:rRNA from 1 species